AUGGAAUGGGUGCGCUCUGAGAUGCUCUCCUAUCCCACACACAAGCGCAAGACCCACCCUGGAUCCGGAGACUGCCGCUCCCGCCCAGUGGUGGAUGCAUGGACGUGGACAUGUGACAGCUCGGCCCCCGGGCCACCGCCUCCUGGGCACCACCACCGCCAAGCCUGGAGCAGCUCUCUGGCCUCGGGACAGUCAGGAGCCGGACGGUGGCACAUGCGCAGAUGUGAGCCUGGAAACCCACUGAGCGCAGCGAUGCAGACUGUGACGUCAGAACUCUGCUGGGGUCUCGAGCUCAGCCCACCUGGCAGCUUAGCGGACCCUGUCCCAAACGUGGAGAAAAUUGACAAAAAGGUACAUGAUGGAGUCACUGGAAAAGCCCUGGCUUCUUUCCCCAGUAACACACAUGCACACGUGCGCGCGCACAUGCAUGCUCCCUGAAAAACUGGAAAUCUGAAUGAGAUAGGUGCAGUGUGUCAACAUCUCCCCAUGUUUAUAAGAUUGUGCCCUAGAAUUACAGAAUACUGCUCUGGAGGAGAAUGGAUAAAGGUGCGUGAGCUAUCUGUGCAUCACUUCUUAUAACCGUGUGCGUGGCUCCACAGAGAAGUUCACUUGAUGUUUUGCACUCAGUGGCUUCCUUCUGGGCAAAUGACUGUCUCGCCCCAUGGCAGCAUUUCGUGAUUCACUCCUCUGUGUCUUCAGUGUGACCUGUUUGCAGUGGUGAUGACGCGCACUGAACAAUUUGGACUUGAAUUGUAUCAAGGUGUAGAGUAAACCUAAUUUUUC
rnacentral:lncRNA from 1 species